GAUGGAAGAACGUAGCGAAAUGCGAUAAGUAAUGUGAAUUGCAGAAUUCAGUGAAUCAUCGAAUCUUUGAACGCACAUUGCGCCCGCCAGUAUUCUGGCGGGCAUGCCUGUUCGAGCGUCAUUACAACCCUCAGGCCCCCGGGCCUGGCGUUGGGGAUCGGCGGAAGCCCCCUGUGGGCACACGCCGUCCCUCAAAUACAGUGGCGGUCCCGCCGCAGCUUCCAUUGCGUAGUAGCUAACACCUCGCAACUGGAGAGCGGCGCGGCCAUGCCGUAAAACACCCAACUUCUGAAUGUUGACCUCGAAUCAGGUAGGAAUACCCGCUGAACUUAAGCAUAUCAAUAAGCUGAGGA
rnacentral:misc_RNA from 1 species